AUUGAACGCUGGCGGCAGGCUUAACACAUGCAAGUCGAGCGAGCGGCGGACGGGUGAGUAAUGUCUGUGAAACUGCCUGAUGGAGGGGGAUCACUACUGGAAACGGUAGCUAAUACCGCAUACCAUCAGAUGUGCCCAGAUGGGAUUAGCUAGUAGGUGGGGUCAUGGCUCACCUAGGCGACGAUCCCUAGCUGGUCUGAGAGGAUGACCAGCCACACUGGAACUGAGACACGGUACAGACUCCGACGGGAGGAAGCAGUGGGGAAGAGUGGACAAUGGGCGAAAUCCUGAUGCAGCAAUGCCGCGUGUGUGAAGAAGGCCUUCGGGUUGUAAAGCACUUUCAGCGAGGAGGCGUUACUCGCAGAAGAAGCACCGGCUAACUCCGUGCCAGCAGCCGCGGUAAUUC
rnacentral:rRNA from 1 species